CUCGGGAGCGCAAGCCCGCAAAGUUCUUGGUCGAUGGGAUCGUCCGCGCCACGUUCCGCUGCUACCGGGGCGCAUGCCACUGCUUGGCAUAUACGCUGCCAACUUCUUCCUCUACACCAUCAUGUCAAAUCAGGACGCUCUCAAGGCUGAUUAGAGGAUUAACUUCAGUGGAUGCAGGAGCUUCAUGCUCUGGCAGACGGCGGUGCACCACGCUGUCGCUGAUGACACCGGGUCGGAAUGGGCGCUGGUGUACUCGUUGUCUCAUCAGACCACAGCCGGAGCAAGCAGAACAAUGGGAUUCCCUUUCUCUUUUUGGCCUGACGUCUAGCUCCUGCUCCUCCUCACAAAGUUUCUCCUGCUCCUCCUCCCAAAUUUUGGAGGCCGCCACCGCUGAUCGACGAUUUGGAGGAGUCUGAAGCGCCGAUGCAAGCACUGUGAAUCAGAGUUUAAGCAGCGUUGGGUAAGCACGCGGCAUGUACAAAAAAGGAGCAGAUUUUCUCCACCUACUUCGAGUAUUUGACUACCAGCUUGGCGUCCUAACUCAUUAUCAGCAAUAUGCCAUUUGAGAGUGAGUGUUGCCGUAUGCCAUUGCCAUGCUAUGAGGUCUUCCCCGAGACAAAGAGCCAAAGUUUUCAGCAGAAAAAAACAUCACUACAGGUGACCUCUUCUCCUUUUCCCGUUAAUCCCUUUUCUUCGUUUGGCUUAGAAAAAAUAUUAUUGACAUAUAUUAGUGCCAAUCUGUUACACAUGCACCAGCCGUUGUCAUUCCAUAGACAAAAAAGAACAGUGUGACCUUCAAAUCUUACUUUGAGGUCUACUUAUUUACGCCAUAUUCAGAACCAGUACAUUUACAAUGAUCAAACAAAUGAUAACUACAUGGUAAUGUAAGACCUAAAAGCAAAGUUGUACAUGUUCGGAUUAGCAGUAAAAUAAAGUGCUCUUGAUGCGUGUUUCUGUGUGCAGCUCCCAUAAUCAGAAGCGUUCUUGAUAUUUGUUUCUGUGUGAAGCAACUAAAACUCUGUAUAAAAAUUAGACAAAAAAACAGGGGUGAUCUUCAAGCAUAUUUUCUGAGAUAGAGAACUGUCUACCUAUGCCAUACUCAGAACAAUACAUCUAGGCUACUCACACUAACCAAAAUUAUGUGUUAAAUUAUGAACUGGAAACAUAGUUGUACGAUGUCCGGUUUUUCAGUAAAAAUAUGUUCAUGAUGCUGCUCAGUAAGGUUAGCAAAUAGUGCAGACAUGAGAUUCUAAACUCUAAAUUAGUGGCCACCCAAUUGGUGACAAAUCACUAUCUAGCAAACCAAAUUAUACAAUAAAAGAACAAUACAGUUUUUCCUUCAUUGUUACUUUUAUAGCAUACUAUAGAUAAAGUGUAUUUGUCUGAUGGGUAAACUAAAUAAAUCAGGGAUGUUAAACACGUAAAAUGCGGGAAACAAAAGGUGAAAAAUAUGUAGAAAGAUCAACCAAUCAUCUAUUUUUCAUAUGUAUUAAAAAUAAUCUUAAGAUGUAUGAUGAACAUACCUUCCGUCGAUUUCAAUUCGAGCAUAGAUCAACUUUAAACUAUUGCAAUAGACAAAGAAAAAGUGGAAUAUUUGCCGCUCGCAUAUAGCUUUCCGAGAUAAAUAUCAAACUACACGACAUUUAUUUACCAUGAGCGAGAUAACACGAUGUAGAUGCAUAGCAACAAAGAAAAACACAGAAAUAGUCUUUGCGAGGUAUAUCGUGAAAAAUAUUAGAACAUAGACACAACAGAUAGUACCAAAUAAAUUGCAGUGAACGCUCACUUCUUCCAUCUUAUUUUCAGGAAUUUCAUGUGUGGUCUGAACUUUCUCCAUCUUCCACAUCUUAUUCUAGCAUCAACUAUAGUCUUACAAAAUUGAACCCACGAAAACCUUAUCAUAUUUGUGUAAAUCUAAAUGCUAGUAUGAAAUACUGUGAGUGCUCUGUUCUUCUAUGAGACCAUAUCUUGCCGUUCUUCUAUAAGGCUCCAUCUUGCGCAAUCAAUUGCACUUUAUAAUUUAAAAGAAAAAGGAAAGGAAAUUUCUAUAAAUUAUGUCGGUACCCACAUAGAAAAUACGCUGAAACCAAUGGAAGCGAAAACUACGAAACUAUUAAAGGUUUCAUCAUGAAGAUUAUAUAACAAGGUACAUAAAUAUUUAGGCAACUAUCUAGGUAUCACAAAUAUGGACAACAAUGCCUCAAAAUUUCUCAUGAAAAGAAAAUUAGGGAAGUCUGAAAUAUAAAUUAAGAGCUAGCAUACCUUGUAACAGAAGGAACUCAUAAGUAAUACUUCGGGUCUAAGACCUAAAAUUAAUCCCAUCAAGAAUACUGUGAAGCUGCAGAUCAUGACAAAGAACUGUCUUUUAGUUUUCAAUGUUUUUUAUCGAAAAGAAUGUGCAUGUGUGUAUGUAAUCAUGGACAUAGUGUUUUGGAUUAGAAAGAUGCAGAGGAUGAGAAAUAUCUUGAGUUCUUACCAAACUACUACCUCUGGACUUCUUUAAUUGACGCGCCCGCAUGCAUACAUUCUCCUCUAGCUAGCUAGCCUUCGCGUCAAUUAUAUCCGGACGGAGGGAGUAAUUAGUAAGCCCCAACUCUCUGGUUUACUAAUUAUCAUUUAUUUUCUUCUUCCUUUUUAUAGUACAUCUCUCUAAUACAUUCAGGUUCAUCAUCUUCUCAUUGCAAAACAUGCAUUUGAAAUGACAUUCUAUCAGAAAUAGCAAAAACAGAUUUGCAGACCCUAGCAAAGGAUUCACGCUAUAACAUAGUAGAAAUGUUUUAUUAUAUGACCUUCACUCAAAGAUAUGGCUUGAAGUAGGUUUGCCUUUUUUCUUUCUAGUCUGUUCCACUUUAUUCCUGUGAACGUUGAGGCAAUCCUCCUCCAGUUGCAAUAGCACACUGUCCCGUUCAAGUUCAUCGAUCCUAAACAAUUUCUCUCCAUUGUUCUUGCAUCAACAGAUCCAAUAUUUAGACAAUUCUAAUAAAAUUUUAUGUAGAAAGAAACAAAAGAAGCAAGAACAACAUGACACCUGGCUUAAGUACAUACCAAGACAUAAAUAAAUGCAAAAUAGGAAAAUUAUAGACAAAAGUUUGCCAGAAUCAUAACUACAUCCCAGCGAACCAGAGUGAGUAGGAAAAAUGGUAUGAGUCUACAUCAUAAAAUUUUUAAUCAACGGUGAACACAGAGAAAAAGAAUGGGCAUAAAGAUUGAACUAUGGUGCAAUACUUGGAUUGCAGCCAGAUCUUCCAAAAUCGCAAAACACACAAGCAGAUCACUCAAUACCUUCGUGACUUCAUCCCUAUAUGACAAUAUGAAUGGAAACACAUGAUAAUGAUAAUCAACAAACAACUCUUUGUGGGCAAAUCAAAUCGACUAAUUAUUACCUUGAAGAUGGGUGACUUGAUAGCCACUUCCAGCUCCAUCUUCACGGCAGAAACCACAAAGGGUUCCCCAUGGUGGUAUGGUGAGUAGGCAAUUUGUCGCUGACACCAUGAUCUCGCCGGUGAUCCGUGGCCUCAAGGUGCGGUGCACGACCAGAGCAGCCGCCGCUGCUGCCCGAUGGCUGUAUCAGGCCGCUGAACUUGGUCGCCAUUCUCUAGAUCGUGUCCAGGCAUCAGUAUUACUCCGCAUCCAUCUGCGCAUAACCAGAGAGCACAAUGGUUAUUGGCAAAUCAUGUAAUAAAACUAAAAAAUGUAUGGAACCAUAAAACAAUUAGAGCUCACAAACCUGCAUACCCACAUAGACUAAGGAGCAGAUGAAUAGAAGGGGAAAAUAAUAUUGCUGGAGAGCACUAACCUGCUGGUCGAUUUUGGUCAUCAUCGUCGGCAUCCGCCAAUCCAAAGUGUGCUCGACUUGAAUCAAAGCUGAUGCAAACGAUCUUGAUGGAAAACGCACGAAGGAGCUCGGCCGGGCCCCUUGGCAGGGCCGGCGCCGCCUGGGCUGCGUCCGCGAUAGAGGGAUCUGACGUGGUGGAGGACGCAUCAGAUUUUGGAGCUCUGGGAUGGGAAUCCCCUCCAACUCGUCCUUGUCCUAGAAAUCCAGUGAUGAAGUGGGAUUCGGAGGCACGGGAUUGUGGUGGUCAAUGGAGGCGAAAGAGAGGAUAUGGGUGGCGGGAUCGGCGCGGACAGGAGGUGAACGUCGAGGCGGAGCAUCUCCUCGCCAUCGUCGCCAUACGCGAGGUCGGCGGCUGUGCCGUGGAGGAGCUCUCUCCUCGCCAUCGCCGCCAGACGUGUGCUCGGCGGCUGCGUCGUGGAGGAUCUCGUCCAUCUUGAAGCCAUCGUGUUGAGGUGGACAGAGGAGAAUAAAAAAUCUACAAAACGUGAGCCGAUUGGGGACUUGGAGUGCUAUUAAGGGAAGGCAGGCGGGGAGACAAAAUAAAGCGGUGCCAGAGCCCACCACCACACGUCUAGGCCCCACCAUAAAACAAUAAUGCUAUGUCCCGGGCCAAAGAAAAUGCAGCACACACCAAAGGAAAGGAACAACAAAAAAUGCAAGAAAACACCAGAUAUGCACACAGGAAAAUCACAUUGGAAAUCAACCAGAAAACUAUAUACGUGUCAGCUACAGGUUAAUCCCAAAAAAAGUCCAAAACUCUGAGAAAAAGCGAAGCUGUUGAGGAUUAAUAUAGUAGUUAUAAUUGGUAAAAAUAAAUACUUAGUUAUACAUUAUUAUCAUCAUCAUCACUAUCUCUACUACUUCUAGUGCUAUUAUUAAUAUUGGUACUAUUACUACACUAUGAUGCGACUAGCAUGAGCCAUUAGUUAAUUACAUGUACAUUUCAUUCUUAUGUGAUAUUGUUAUCUUAAUAAGACUACAUGGACCAUUCCAUGUAUUGUGUUUCUUAUGGUUUUUUUACUAUGUAUUGUUUUUCUUACAUUUUUUAUAUAAUUGGUUGAUGUGGGUAUUCUCGUAUAAGGAUCAAUAAAUCUCAAAAUUGAAAGGUCAAUAAAUUUGGUUGAUGCUUUGAUUUUUGUUUGUUUGCAAAACUUGCUUGAUUGAGGCGACCAAUGAAGGGUCAUGUAGACAUCUUGUGCAACUUCUCAUCUUCAUGUUAAUAACUUAAUAUGGAAAGAAUGUUGAUGCAAGCAAAUGGGGGGGGGGGGGGCAUCUUCAUGUUCAUCCAACACCAAUGCAUGGUACAUCAUGUUGAUACAUGAUACAAAUAUUUUGGUUCACAAUCUACAAAGCCAUGAAGACCAAGCGAAAAGUACCGAGAGCAGAGUACUACCGUCAUUAACUAUUCGUGUUAUUCCUCGUCGCCACAACUAUUGGGGCCACCAAUAGAAUGCAACAAUGAGACACAAUGUCGAUGAUCGACACACAAUUAUGAUAUCCCUUCUUCUGGACUAUGAUGUUGAUGAUAACCGGAAUAUGUUGCACGGGGAUAGUGUCCUACAUUCGUAUAAAAAAGAGGUAAAUCCUUCGCAUCUUCCUUGUUGUGGACAAAUGGACUUUUCUCUUACGAUUUUUUCGUUCAUUGUACACCUAUGGCCUUAGUAUUUCAAGUGAGCCUCAUGUUUACUACACCUACUCAUGGCACACAAGCCACUUUACAAAUUCAUAAUACUAAAAAUAUAACGAAUACAUAUGAUACUAUUAUACAUAACAAUUAAUCACAAAUAUCAACACAAACUUUUCUAUGCAUUGCACAAAAUUUAAUUUCAUAUUUGAGGUUAAGCAUGUACACUUUAUUGAGGUACAUAUAUAUAAUUAUAUCAUGAUAUGGUGUCUAUGUUAUUGCAUCACAACCUAGUCUUUAUGGAGUGGAAAACCCGCAUGCUAAUCGUAUUUAAAUUAUCAUUUUUUUGCUCGUGUCCUGAAAUGACGGUUAAAAAUCAACAUGUGAUGUGUUAUUAUUUAAUUUUAAGUGUAUGAAAUAAAUUUGUGCGUACUUUUUUUAAAAACUAUUAUGUAGAUAGAAGCGGGUAGGAUCGUGAUCUUGUUUUAGUAUUUCAAUAUCCCAUACCAUGUAGUAAUACAAUGUUGCUUUGUUUUUAAGUUUAACUUUGAAUUGUUAGACUAUGAUAUAUCUACACUUUCUACCUAUAUUUGUCCAUGUUUCCCCUAAAAAUCUUUGUAGAAGCCUUUAGAAUGCAUGAGCUAACUUGGAUGUUGAUGUGUCUACUGGAUUUGAAUUGAAUGGUAGGUGAUACGAUGCUUCAUUUGUGAUAUAUGUUUAUUUUAUGAUUUUUAUGACGAUAAUUUAUGUUAUCAGUUAACACUUAAAAUUAGAGUGUGUGGUAUCUACUUGCGCGUGAAUGACUAUCUAGAGAGCUACAUAAUCAUUCCAGGAAAAUAUCAAAAUGAGAGAGAGUUCCCUGAACUAGCGAUUCAUUCAAAAAAAAAAGGUCCCUUCCAUUUUCAUAAAAUAGGUACCUUUAGUGGAAUGUUCGCCUUCCAAAUCAUAACCCAUGUUGUCCAAACGUUGUCUGGUCUGGUGCUUAAAGCACCCACAUAUUGAUGAAGCAUGGGUUACCGAAAGCUAUCAUAUAAAAACUCGUAACCAAGAGCAUAAUCUGCUUACCAGGGUGCCAUUCUAGGAAAUAUAAGCAAUCUGAUGUUAUGUGUUGGAUUCUAAGAUUUCUUUCACAUCAAGCGGCAAAAGUGUUACAAUCCACAUCAUUUCCUACUUGGUACUAACUCUCGAAGAAGAAAUAAACAUGAAUCAAAUGGUAUAACUAAUUCAUCGCCGAUCUUAUUUUCGCACCGAAAGGACCUAGAUGUUGCUUAAAGGGGCAUAGGCAGUUUAAACCAAUUACGAGUUUUCCUGAACAAAUGUGGAAAUAAAAAUAGCGUCUAAUUUAUCAAACACAAAACCUAAAUAAGCUAGACACAGCUAUGUGCACCAACAACUUAUGCUAAACAAGAUAAACAACUAUAUGAUAGCAAGAUAAAUAACUUCAAACACAUAUAUCACAAUUUAAAUGCAUAAGUAAAGAGCUAAGGUAUAAAAGUAAUGAGACACAUGAAGACUAAGAUCUAUCCUAAAGUUCACUUUUCAAAUAAAGCUAAUUUUCGUUGAAGAGGCGUGAAGGCUCAAUGCUCUUGAAGCAACACUAAGGGUGUGUUUGGUAGCCUAGGUCAACAGAGAAUAGCUAUCUACACUCAUACAAGCUGACCCUAGCUUAGUUGGACUCAGAUUUUUUCAGUGUGUUUGGUAGCCCUGGCGAGCUGAGACAUGCUGAGUGGGUCUGUUGUUUGGUGGGUUGUAUGUAGUGAGAAUUAUAAAAUUUGCACAACUGACCCUUGCCUACAAAAAUGAGACACAACCGGAUCCCUAUAUAAUACUAUAUAUUAUAGGGCAACCUACUUCAUUUUUCUCAUAAUUUUGAGGCAUGCUCUGAGUGAACGUCCUGUUGACACGUGUGUUGUUUGGGUUAAUUGAUUUCCGAAGGGUUUCUUCUGUGUGUAGUUUUGGUGCCUCUAGGAAAUUUCCGGUGAUCCUUUUUCACGUUCUUCGAUUCCGAUGUUGCACUAUCGUGGUCUUCUAUUUGGGUGCCUAUAGCUGCCUAUAGCACCGUUUAGCUAUUCUCCCCACGUGUCCUCUCUCGAUAACUCCCGAAAUCCCCAAUCAGAUCGCCUCUCUUCUUGGUCGUCUCCGGCAUCCACGAGGGCGGCGUGGCCCGUGGGGUGGAGGGGCGUGGCGCGGCGUCCUAUGACGAUGGUGGCGCAUGCGUGCUGGUGAAUGAUGCGGAAGGCCUAUCCAUGUCCUGGUGGUGCCACCAGCCACCGGCCGCGGAGACCGACGGCGAACGGCAGCGCGACCACUGGGAGCGCUCCCUGCGUCGGCCAUGGCUUCUCCUCCUCCGUCUCGGCUUCGUGGUGGUGGAGGUGCAGCUGGUGGACGUUCCCGUGGUGGUGAUUGCACGCGCCGCCGCUGCCCGCGACGCCCCCACGCCUACAUCGCUGUCCUCCCUCCCGCGGCGUCGACUGCUUCAAGAAUGUCGAUCAAAUCGGCGAGGGAACCUACGGGAAAGUCAACAUGGCAGGAGACGAAGACGACCAAGAUUGUGACCCUCGAUAAGAUCCGCGCGAGUAUAGGGGUGGUCUCCUGGCGCGGGCGCGGGAGGCGUGAACGUCGGGUCGCUGAUCUCCCCGGCGACCAGCCUCGGCUGCUACUGGUUUGCCUUGGUUUUCUGCUACUGUUCCUCCUGGCACGGCUGGUUCAGCGCGGACCACUGCUUCUUGUUUUGUGCUGGACACUUCUCCGGGUGUGCGCGUUCAUGCCGGUGGGAAGCCUUCUUCCAAUGAUUCCCAACACUAGAUUCCUGGCCUUCCAGCUACCUCUAUGAUGGCGAGUGAGGCUGGUCCAUCCUCUUCACGAUCUGUUCGAGCUGCGGAAUCUGCACACAAGAGGAGAUUUGUACGAGCUUGAUUUUGCUGUCAUCGGCCGUGAGGGAGACAUAACGGAGGAUUGUGUGCCACAAAACUGCAUCGACCAAUUCAGGGAUCAACGGAAAGAAGGAUCAAUCUUGACGAUUAAUUUUUUUGUUGUCGACAUGCCCAAGACGGCAAGACCUAUAUAGUAUCAGACUGUUCAAUUUCUAUCAGGAACCCAUUAUACAGUGCAUUCAGUCCAAUUUCUUUUAUACCUGCUUUCUUCCCCUCAAAACAACUAAUGAUGCUUUCAUGUACAAUACCUUCUUUGUUUGUUGCUAUGACCGUAGUCAACAGGUAUAAAGAUUUCAGCCACGCACCCCAAAUACUCACCGGUUGGAUUUACCGGCCGCUAACUUUAACCUCUAUCUGGUUUUGACACAAUAUAGGUGUGUGGGCUCUCAAGAGCACACACAUAACAUGUUGUUAUAUAAAUUACUACAGUUUUGAUGCCGGUGGUUUUAUAUUAAUGCAUAAUCAUUACCCCAAGUUGUUAUAUCCGUGCACUGUAUUGUAUUACACAAGGGGGAGAAGCUUUACCACAAGCUGCAGGUGUAUGGUCAAUCUUCAGCAUUGCAAGAGGCAUGUGGUAUUUUUUGGUAUUGUUAGUCAGCUUUUAGCACUAAGCAAACUAGAGAUUGAAGACGAGUUCAAUCACUUUUUCUCCUGGAACAUAUGAAAAAGAUGGGUACUUAGUUUCUUCUAGCCUACUGUGCUGCCAUAUAUUGUUCUCUCCUACGACAAGUUCUUUUGACAGCUUUGAAAGCUCUAUCCAUGCAUAUUCAUUUACUGAUGCCUGAUCUCUGGACUUUUCUAUGCUUUGUAUUGCACUUUAUCAUAGAUAGAUGGUACGUUCUGUUUGCUCUCACGCCGAUAUUCAUGUAUGCUGAGUACCAAAAUACUAAUAUAGUGAGCAUUUUAUGUAGUAUAUUCACAGUAUUUGAUCCAUCGGAAAAAAUGCUGGCAAAAUAGAUUGGUGUUUUGAAAAAUUUGUUGCUACCUGCAGUUCUAUUCUCCUUUCAUAGUCUCUUGCUCCGGCUCUUGGUCUCAGGCAGAUGUGUGUAGCCUGCAGGUCGCAACACUGAAGAAUGGAGCGGUUGGUGGAGGGCGUCUCUACAUUGUUUCCAGAGAGAUAAUGAAAUAGAUGCUGAUUACAUCUUAAACUAAGGUGCAUAAGUUAUCUCAUUCAUUUAUGGUCACUCAACAAACUUCUCCAGUCCAGGAAUUUAAACCUUUUUCAACAGCUCUGCAGAUAUUUUUCCAAAUGUACUGAUAGGUUUAUUUUUCUUCCAAAUUUCUUUACAAGUUCUUCUACAUACUGUUGUCAACUUGUCAUCAAAGUCUCGACGCUUCCAGGAUGGUCAUUGACUAUCUUUCUUAUUAUACUUUUGACAUGCCUCAACAUAUUGUAUUCGUUCCUGGAUUUAGGUUGUCCUUAAAUGGAAAUCACAUCAAGAAAAACAUUUAGAUGGUCAGAUUUAGUGGAUUGAGUUUGUUCAUUUAACAUAAUAAUGGAAUUAAUCCUGAAUUGCUGACUAAUAUCCUGGUGAGUGCCUCUUUUCAUGUGAUCAUACUGCAAUAUUGGUUCAACUCUUGUGAAUGCCUUUUUUCUUUUCUUUGAGCAUACUGCAAUAUUGGUUCAUCUCUUUCAGCUGUACAGUCUCAUGUUUUAUGGGCACCAUACCUGUCGGGUGCAACAUAAAGUGAUAAUGACAUAUGUCCCAUAAACUAUGUAUAUAGGUUUUUGAUCUAACAUCGUACUCUCCCUAAUUUCUCAUAUAUAUUCUUAUCCUGCCCUUUUGGUAUUCCUGGUAUGCCACUUGCUUUCUUAGGAUUAUUCACUGUAAUAAUAUAAUUUGUCAUUUAACUGCUCAAUACAUGAAGUAGAGGUUGAUUUUAAUGACAUGUGAUGGUAGAAAAUGUCUAUUUUUUCAGUAAAAUUUUCAGAUUUCAGAUGAACUUCUUUAAAUAUGGUGAGGAUAUAACACAUGGUAAAUCAAAUAGGUGGUAUGUAUGCAGUGAUCUUUUGAUGGCCUAUGGUAGAACCAAGAAUUAUACAUGAACACUACUAAUGUGCUCAGUUCACCUGAACUAAAUGAUGGGCGCGUACCAAGCUUCAAGAAAUUUUCCUGGAGGCACAUUCAUGUAUUUUUGUUCUGUUGGGUACAUUUUGAUAUAUUUGCCGUCCUUCUGGUUUCCAAUUUAUCUUAUUUUCGUAUUUGUCAUUUUGAUUUUCUUAAGUAGUGGAGUUUGUAAAUGAUACCGUUUAUUAUUGAGGAUAACUUGCUAAUGCUUAUCAACCACUAUGUACUUUAUACUCAUUUAUACAAGUGACUCUUGCAAGUUUCUUAACUAGGUAUUCACGGUACUACCAAUAUGCAUGAAUGGAGUUGAGGAAUUUCAAAGCGCCUUUAAAAGGUUGUAUGGGUCGUUGCUACCAUCAUUGUUUAAGAGUUUCAAGUUGUAAUAUGGCCACUUACAGAAGGAGUAACAAAUUCGCUAGAAAGUUAAUGUAUUCACAGUUCUUGGUGUAAGAAUGUUAUCAAGUGAGUUUAGUUUUGGUUUCUAUCUAAAUGUCCACUUCAAAAAAACAAAGACCAAUAUAGAGUUUUCAGUAUGGUUACACAAUUAUCAAUUACA